CAUAAUACACUUAGUUAAGAUACUAGUAAAACUAUCUUGUCUGUUAGUUUAUUCUUUUAGACGUGUUGCAGUAAGGAGACUACCCAGUUUGCAACUUAAGUAAUGGACACACUGAACAACCAUGAAGGAAAGUACAAUAUAAUUCGUUUUGAAAAAAAUAACCACAGUUGAUAAACAUGCUUUGUUUCUCCACGUACGUUUUUCAAGAAUUCACAAGUUUAAUGAAUGUAUAAGAAUAAAUUAUUUUUUUGUUUGGCCUUAAUAAGUUAUUGCACCGCUUCUUUCCAUGGCUGCUUUUCAUCUAACAUGUUUUAUUAUGGCUGGUUGUUCUGUUGUCUCGGACACUCGUGGAACUUUUUUAACCUGAAUGCACGUCAACAACACCCAUCCACCCUCUUUUGUAUUUCUCAUCAUUUAUACACAUUUUUCCGAAUUAUGUAGACCAAGUUAUCGGCACACUCAACAGUCUUAAUUCUUCAGCAAAUUUUGCUAGUUGUCUGAGAAAAUUAGUUUUUUUUAUUAAUUUGUAGUUUAUUUAACGAUGCUGCCAGUAGCUCAGACUAUAAUAUGUGUAUAGUGUCAAAUAAUAGGCUGCGUGAAGAAAACUAAUGAGUUAAAAAUGUGGAAGGAAACAGCCUUGGUUUGAUUUGUUACUGUCAGCAUUUACCUAAAGGGACUGUGGAGAAGCACAAAAAAUAUGUAAAGAAAACCGGUCUCCGGGCCGAGAUUUGAUCCUGGAACUUACAGGAAUAAUGCCUUUAAAAAGUCCACGAUCACUUCCUUCCAUAUCCCUUUCAAUUAAUUAUUAAUAAUUCUACGCUAUAUAGUCUGAGCUACUGACAGCGUCGUUAAAUAAAACACAAAGAAUGGCCUUUUUUUGAAAUUUCACACUAAAUUAGUAGACUGUUAACAUAAAUCUUCCUAUGUUGACAUAGGCUUGUUAAGUCUGUAAAUUGCUGGUUAUAGGAAAUUAUGUGUACUUUAAAGACGGCCCAAAUUCCAAAUCUGGAUGAAAUAUAGAAAAUUAAUAGAAAAACAAGGUAGUGUCCUGUUCAAUUUAAGUUCCACGUUGUUCACUUGACCAUCCCAAUGACGUGCCAAGAGGAACAAGCGCAGGGACGUUAGAACUGAUUCUGUUUACAGGAUGGGUGGGAAGUAAGUAAGGCAUUGAGAAAUGGUUAUAACCUCUAUAUUUCCAAUGUAUAGCGAAAUGCAUCAAGCAGAUACAGCGUGUUCAUGGGUGUACCAAAUGAAACAAACGCAAAUUAACUUGGCUUUAAAGUUCUACACUGUUUUUGAAGUUGUUCAUUAAGCCUGUUUCGCAUUUUUGUAUUAAGGUUGCCGUGAUUGAACCGGCGUAACGGUUGGACCACGGCAAAUUUUAUGUUAUGUUGACAGCGCAUGCGCGUUCAGGGUAGCGGAAGGGACUGCGAGUAAAGCACCAUCUUGUUCCGUUUCAGUGUGGCACGUAAGAGGCCGAUACGUUAGGCUACAAGAUUUUUUGACAUAUUUGUUCUUAUUUUUGGCGUACUGCUUUGCAUUUAUUUGUCAUCACACUAAGAAUACAAUGGUCAGUGAGUGAUGCUUUACUUUGUGUGGGUGAAAGUCUGUGUGGCAACCUGAGGACAAUACAAUCUUCGGGCCGCAUUUGGCGCAAUAAGCUGGUAGAAACCAGUCAUCAGAACCGGCGUCAGAAUCGGGAAUCGAAACCAUGACAUCUCAGUUUCGACGUUUGGGGUAGGAGUCGAGUGGCCCAACCUAGUGUAUGCAGUGGAUGUGACCGAUGAGACGGCGGCUACACUGUGAAGCUUACUUCUCGCACACCCAUCAAGUACCGAGGAACCGCUGACAAUGGAAGAGGUGGCACCGUGGUAGAUGUCUGGACCAGUGCUGAUGUUUAAUUCUGCAUUUACGGUACAAGUUUCAAAAUACCACGUUCUUAAGAAAUGACAUACAACGCGAAACAGUACUGAAGAACACGAGACAGCAGCAGCAACUGAGCGAUUGGCUGGCCGGCCGCACCACACACACAUGAGUUUUGCCUUUCAGUCAACUGUGCAGGCCGAACGGGAGACCAAACUGUGUGUGUAUGGGGGGCCUAAGAGAAAUUCUUUUGCCCCUGCAGGGAAUUGAACUCCGGUCGUCCAACCCGUAAUGUCACUUGUGUUCUUUGUACCAAGUGUAAAAAAUGAUCGUAUUAUGAACAGUUCGACUGUGCUUGGAACAGACCAUGUAGAAUGAUCGUAGUGGGAAAUAUGUGUAUACUUUUCUUGUAGGUGCAUAAUCAGAUAGGCCUACGGAAAGAAGUGUGUUAUAAUUAUUAAACAAAUAAAACUAGUAAUGCAUAAGUAACGUGACACUCUUCACUUGCAUAUGUUUCAGUUCCGUGUUUUAUCGUACUUCAUCAUGCAUUAUUGCUUACGUAAAUGUACGUAUAUACGAGGUGCGAUCGGAAAGUUUCCAGACUGCGCCUAUAAAAAAAAAAACCGUACACUUAUCUCAGGUAUUAAAUU